CAAUCGGCCCUUCUCAGGGCCAACAAAUGCGUUCUAAAGGGAUAUGU
rfam:Aedes aegypti strain Liverpool supercont1.195 genomic scaffold, whole genome shotgun sequence.